AAUCGAGGAACAUGGAAGGAAAAAAAAUAUGAAGCAAAAAGAGAAGAAGAAAAGGAAAAGGAAAAGAAGAAGUGGGUUUUCAAUUCUUGGGUGCUCCAUUUCUACAAUUUCUCAUUUGAUUUUGAGAGGAAAAUACUCAAGGCAUCUUUGUAAGGGAAUAUGAUUUACUAGAGCGAAUGCGUAAUAUCAUACUUGAUAAUUGAAGUUGAAGCGGUGACGAGAAGAUUGAAACCAUGGUCGACUAUUACUUGGUGUGUGGAUAAAACUUAAUUUUUAGAAACAAGUAUUCAUUAAAUUUUGAAGUUACUUAUUUUAUAAAGUUAAGUUGAUAGCAUGAUUUUCAGAAUAAAAUUGAUUUUAUAAUAGUUAUUUUUAA